AAAUGGAGUUGAGUGAAAUAAGUAAGGACACUUCUAAUACUAAACGCCACAGAAAAACUCAUUUGUACGAGAAUACAGCUGUAACUGUGGCAACGAUUGAAUCUGAUGAAACCAAGUGUACGGACCAAACCGAAAGAGACGAAGAGAAUUACGAGCAAUUAAACUUAAACAGAAAAACAAACAACAACAAACGACACGACAAGGAAAACACACAAAAUUGGAACAGAACUAUGAUUUUUAUAAUUUUGGUAAUGCUUGUUUUGCUGUAUAUUGCAGUCAUAGUGUUGACAGUUUUCGUUGUCCUACCGAAAAGUCAGGUUAAUGGAGGUUGGAGCAAAUGGACAUCAUAGACAUCCUGUUCCGUUUCCUGUGAUGUUGGCAUCCAACACCGUAACAGGUCGUGUACCAACCCAUAUCCUAGUGGUACUGGACAUCAUUGUUUUGGUGAAACGACAGAAGACAAAAUAUGUUUUCCAGGAGCUUGUUCUGAUGGUAGUUGGAGUAGCUGGAAUGGUUGGGGUACUUGUACUGCGACUUGCGACGGAGGAAUACGAUCACAGAGUCGAACAUGCACGAAUCCGAAACCUUCAUUACUAGGAAAUACAUGCGAUGGGAACGCGGUACAAAUUAGCGCCUGUAACAGGCAAGCCUGCAAUGAUGGUGCCUGGGUAGCUGGAGCAGUUGGGGUUCUUGCAGUGUAACUUGUGGCGUUGGGAUACGGUCACAGACUCGAACCUGUACAAAUCCGAAGCCAUCAUUACUAGGAAAAUAUUGCGAUGGUGCUCCGACAAAAAUUAGCAUUUGCAACGAACAAACGUGUCCAGACUUAAGGGUCGCCUUCACCGCUUACGGAAGUAGUACAGAAAGUUCAUACAUUGUCAUUAAAUUUCCUCACACGUACUUGAACAGUGGUGGAGCAUACAACACCAGCACAGGGAGGUUCACCUGCAACAUACCUGGCAUUUAUCAUUUUGCUGUUACUUUAACAAAAAGAAGAGAGAGCACAAAUAACAUCCAUGCCUAUGUAAGGAUAAAUAAUUCAAAUCAGCUUGAUUUGUAUUCUGAUUUAGAAGACUCUCGUGACUUUGAUUAUAGUAGUUAUUCUCUAAGCGCUGCCGGCACCUUCCACUUGAACGUAAAUGAUUAUGUAUAUGUACAUGGUAUUCCAAGGUAUUUCCAUAAUAGUGGUAGGUCACUCUUCACGGCAGUUUUAGUAAUCCCAGAUUAUAAAUGUAUAAAUACCCUGGGUGAUAUUUGUAAAUUCCUCAAUAUAUAACUGAACUGUAAAGCCUGUUUUGACUGUCAUAAUAGAUGAAUAAUUAUUUGUUUUUUGCUCCUUCAAGACCUUCAUGCAACCAUUUUCAAUCAUUUCCUGGAUAUUGGAUCAAAUGCUUAAUUUAUACUUUAGUCAUAACACAAAAGAAACACUUUCUUUACAUGAUUUUCAUUUUUCUUUUGAUUUGUUUUUAAACAGACAAUGUUCUCCGAAAAAUAUAGGUAUAGGUUUCAGGCAUUUGAAAAAGGUCUUGAUGUGUGACGCAGCCCUUGGAAUUUGUAAAGUUUAUGUAGAAUAAAAAAAUGCAAUGUAUCAUGUGUGCUUAUGUCUAUUUUUCAAAUGAACUCACAUGGAUAUGACGUCAAGGAAGCAUGAACAAGUCACAACGACAUAUUGACUUCUAUUGUUUACAUACGUUGCGUCACGUUAUCAUAAGAGUUGGGAGGUUACACUUGGAAAAAAUGCAUUUAAUGCUCAGUUAUGACGUUUAUAUAGCUCGGGAUGCCAUUUUUGCUGAAAAGUACGAGGUAUAAAACCAGUUUGCUAACGGAGGAAACAAAGUUGUAAACAUAACAUAUAACUAGCGCUUUAGUAGAUCAAAUUUGGGUAUGAAUGUAAAACAAAAAUAAACACUCAAUUAUAUUUCAUACCCAAAUGUGAACUAGUAAUCCGCGAUUCAUUUCUGUUGCGUUUAAAUGUAAGUUGUUUUGUACGUUUGCCUGUUUGAUUAAGGUUUCAUAGUAUGGAUAUGGGUUAGGUUUCAAAUGUGCAUAUUAAAUAAAUUUUCAUUUGAAUAUGAUCUUAUACAAUACUUACUAGCAGCUGUAUAUUUGUACAUUUGUGUGACUAAUAAGAUUUCGAAACUAGUUUCAUACACGAGUGAUAAUGUAUGCACUUUAGAAAUGAUUUGGUUGUUAUAAAUACGUUUGCAUUCCUGUAUUUUCGUAUGUUAUAUUCUUGCAAAUAUAUGCGUAUAAGUAUUAAUAUGAAAUAUGUUUCACAGAUGCAGAGGCCUAGGAGCGAGAAGACUGGGAGCGGGCGGGACAGGAAGCCCCCUCUCUCACCCGAUUAUUGACAUUAAGUGGGAAGACCUUUUUUCCUUUUUUUUAUUUUUUGGUUGUCCGAAAAUCUUCAUGGAAUAGCUGGGUGGGGUUAGCUGGCCGCUCCCCCCCCCCCCUUAUUACCCACCCACCCCCACCCCUCGCAUCGUUGAGUUCGUUCCUAUGUACGCCACUGAGAUACUGAUUAAGUUUAAACUUCGAAUAUGAACUGAAGGUAAAUAUUUAUGCUUGUAUCCUUGCGUUACAUUUGCACAAAUACUAACUAUCAUACUUUUGUUUAUUCGAUAAAUUGACAGUGACAUCAUAUGGUAGUACGAUAUUUACUGAAUAGGUAAGUCAGUAUGUCAAUAUUCUUUUACAAAGAAACAAAAGCUUUCACAUUGAAAUAUAGCAUUCGGGUUUUGAUAUACUGUUUCGCAGAAGUGUCUUCAAAUAACUAUCAAAUUUUAAAAUCGAAUCUGAACAACAAUAGUAUGAUUUUGCAACAUGUGCAACAUGUGCACGUAAUUUAUCAUAACGGUAACCUUUUUUCAAGAAGUUUAUGAUAUAUUGAUUGCGUUAAUACAGAAUUAACGGAGAAAUAUGUAUCCAAUAAGAUGUUGUAUUCGGUAUAUCACCAUCCAAAAUGGGGAAAAUUACAAAACUAAAUUGAAAUCAUGGUUGUCAUAAAUUUUGUUUUGAAUUAUAUUGUCAUAAAUAGAAAGAUAUGAAUAUAUAAUGAAGCAGUAGUAUCCGGUGUGUUCGUUUUGGGGAUACAAAUUAUCCAACAAUUGAACAUUAAACGGAUUAUCCGUGUAAAAAGCAUUGUCCAUUUAGCGUGAUGUAUUGUUGAAUGCAUUAAUAAUAUCUAACUGUGUAUCUGCAGAAAAGCUCAACAUAUUUAAUAUUUCUUUCUUAACAAUAGAAAAACAAAAUCUGCGACAAGGUGUGCACAAUUAUGUUUCCGUGGGAAAACCAGUGACUUGUCGGAACUCUGCAUUCUCAAACCUGUUCCAGAUUUUGUUACGCACUGGCGAUAUGAAGUUCGACAACUAUUGACAAAGUAUUCUCUAGAUGUUGACGAUUUUCUUUGAUAUAUUGAGUCAACUCAAAAGAAAUAAAGAUAAUCUACUUACCACAGGAAAUCAUAAUAACUAGUGUGACUACGAGGGUCCAAAUUAUUUUCCAAUUAUUGAUCGGGAACUAAAGUGUCUAUCGAUGGAU